rnacentral:sRNA from 1 species
AAAUUCCCUUACCUCUCCCUUCACACCCUCACCCUACUCCUUCCCAUCCCUGUCACAUAACUAACUCCUCUGCCCCAGACCUCUUUGGCGAGUGCUAUCGCAGCAGUGAGGUGAGGGCUGCCCGCCUCCUCCUCCGUCGCUGCCCGCUCUGGGGGGAUGCCACUUGCCUCCAGCUGGCCAUGCAAGCUGACGCCCGUGCCUUCUUUGCCCAGGAUGGGGUACAGGAAAUCAGAAGAGGAGCCCACACGGAAGGAGCUAGAGUUUGACAUGGAUAGUGUCAUUAAUGGGGAAGGGCCUGUCGGGACGGCGGACCCAGCCGAGAAGACGCCGCUGGGGGUCCCGCGCCAGUCGGGCCGUCCGGGUUGCUGCGGGGGCCGCUGCGGGGGGCGCCGGUGCCUACGCCGCUGGUUCCACUUCUGGGGCGCGCCGGUGACCAUCUUCAUGGGCAACGUGGUCAGCUACCUGCUGUUCCUGCUGCUUUUCUCGCGGGUGCUGCUCGUGGAUUUCCGGCCGGCGCCGCCCGGCUCCCUGGAGCUGCUGCUCUAUUUCUGGGCUUUCACGCUGCUGUGCGAGGAGCUG